rfam:Gossypium hirsutum cultivar TM-1 chromosome 22, whole genome shotgun sequence
CACGUCAGCUCGUUUUGCUGAUGUGGCAACAAAUCGCUUUUACGAGGGGGCGAUUUGUUGCCACGUCAGCAAAGCGCGCUGACGUGG